rnacentral:tRNA from 1 species
GCGCGAGUGGUUUAGACGUAUAACGACACUUUCUAAGCAAAUAAUUUGGAAAGCGUUAAACGCUCACACCGUGUAAAUUUUCGCUAAUUCAUGGCGUUAAUCUCGACGGUCGGGGGUUCAAAAUUCCCCCCUUGCGCA